rfam:Knoellia sinensis KCTC 19936 contig7, whole genome shotgun sequence.
CGACGUGCUCCGGGGUCGGUGUAAUUCCGAACCGGCGGUGACAGUCCGCGACCCGACCGCAGCCAGCGGCCGGUUGACUGGGUGGAACUCCCAGACCGACGGUGAAAGUCCGGAUGGUAGGCAGCACGUGA